UGAAUAAAGUAAUGCUUUAUUUUGUGAAAAUGCAUAAGGUCUUUGGAAGCUUUAGGCUUGGCCAGUUGGGCCAAUUGGUCCAUCAUCACCUCCACUGCAUUCUUUUGGCCAAAACAAGUCACAAAGUCAAUCCAGACUUAAGAGGUCACAUCAAGAGGCCAUGCCCCGAGGUUGGGAAAUAAGCCUAACAAGCAGGUUCCACCAGAGAAUAAAAGAAAAAAAAAACACAAUGAAAGUCAAUUUUAUUGAUUCUAUGACAACUAAAGCAAGCAAGAAAACCCUCCAACCUAUUCUCGAUACCUAGACAUGGAAAGUCAAAAAUAAAUUUUUAACUGA